rnacentral:lncRNA from 1 species
GCACUCAUUUCUUUAAUUUUUUAUUUUGUCGCUCGAAAUGAUUCUACAUAAACAAACCAGCAGGUGAAAACAAAACCUAAACAAACGAAACAAACAAUCAGCCGUGAGCACCGCCGUGAGCUUUGGAGUGGAGGAGAAGGGAACGAAAUCAAAGAUUACUAACAUGGAGGUAAUGCAGUAAUCUGCGGAUUCAGUAAUCUUUGGACUAAAUCAAGGUUUUCGUACUACUCUGGCCAAAACUAUUUUGACUGACGAGAUUAGUGGAAAUUUUCAUGAAAAAAUUUAUUUUGAUAAUGAAAAUUGAUCAGCUGUUUCUUGAUUAUGAGAAAUUCUUCUCGAGUGUUACGUACAAAUUUUGACUGUCGAAUUCGCGUCUGAGUUUUGUCUCUGACUAUUGUUCGUGUUUUUUACCGUCUUAAAUGGUGAUUGUUUUGCAGGAGAGAAUAAAUUGGCUGACAUUAAUAGUCGUAUUUUGUUCGACGAAACAACUCGGAACAUCUCGUAACAGUCGUAUUUUGUUCGAAUGUUAUUUAUGUUAAGGGGCGUGGCCUAUUUUUAUUCGUUUCAUUAUUUUGCACAAUUUGGCAACGUUUUGCGACAAUGUUUCGAAACAAUGGUGACGGGCUCGGAGUUACGUUUCGACGAUGUUGGAACAGGAUUUCUAACCUCACUAUUCUAUUUUCCGCGCCAAUUACCCGCAUUGCGCAUUGCACGGUGUCGUUUUAAUUAUUAUUGCAAUUAUUUUAAAGUUGUCCCCUUACAGUAGUUUAAGAUGGAGCCGUAUCGGUUGGACAUCCACCUUCGUGGCGGGGCCCUGCUCCAAGCUGCUUUAACCAUCGAGAAGUUCCUUGAAUUAAAGUCAGAUUUUGUUGUAACAGGAGAAUAUGCUAAAUUACUGUUAGAGACGGAAGUACUCAAUGGAACAUUAAACGAAAAAAACACUACUAUCGACCACAUUGAACUCUACGAUCAUGAAACGAUGGUUAAUUUCCUGGAGGAUGGAAUCCUGGAGGAUCUGCCGGAUGCAGAGUUAUUCCAUGAUGACCUGGAACCACCCAUGCCGGAAUUUGAUGAACAUGAAGAAAGGUCAACUUAUUGGACGCGGGUUCUUAAUUACAAGUAUGUUCUGCGGCACAAUGAAGGUUCUGAUCCAGAAAUUGAGUUAGUCACAAAUGCAACAGAGUUACUCAUACAUAUAUAUGGCAGUGAUCAUGUCCAACAUAUGGUCAAAUCCCGAUCCAAAAAAGUGGCGUACAUAUGGAUGAAUGUGGCGGAGCAACUGGCCAAACAUGGUUUUCCUAUUCCAGCAAAACCAGGAAAAACGAUCGGCAAACAGUGUGACGACAAGUUUCGAGGUAUAAAGAACAAGUAUCAAUCUCAUUUGGCGCCAAAAACUGGGCAAGCAAGAACGAAGAAGCCUCCAUACUUUGACCUGAUGCAUAAAUACUUUGGCGACAAACAGAUCUCAGUACCUACUUGUCUAAAUGAUUCGCUUGCACGAAGGGUGCGUGAUCGUAGUCCAAUUGUAUCAGCACACAAGCCCUCCACUCCGCCCGUUCCCACUACUUCUGCCACCUCCAACACUGCUGCAGCCUCCUCUUCUCCAACCUCCUCUUCUCCUGCGUCCUCUUCUCCUGCGUCCUCUUCUCCUGCCAUUCUUAACAAAUCACGCUUUCAGGCAAAGUCUGUACUUAAGCCAAACCAGCAACUACAGGGGAUGUUUUAAAUUUGAUUGAAAAAACUAACGAAACAUCCAAAAUCAAACCGAAUUGUCUCUACAAACUUUAAAGCAAAUGCACGAACAAGAUUAUAACCAAAUGGAACGGUUCCUAAGAAUGUAUUCCGAAGCUAACAAUUUAGGAAACUUCGAUGAGAACAAAGAAAAUUAAUCUGGCCGACCAGUCGAAUGUUGCUCGUUUCUUAACUCAUGAUAAGAAUAUUUGAUCUUUAUCAUUAAUUUUUCCUCAUUAUUUUUCUACCUAUUAUUUUCUUAGUCGUUAUUUUCUUAAGUUAUGUUUUUUUUUACCAAUUACCAGUAUUACCAGUAUUUCUUUGUUAGGAUGGACACUGUGCUCAGUUACUUUCUAAAUGUGUGCUCAAAUUUCAGCAAUACCGUGCUAAAGUGCAAUGAUCUAUUCAAAAAGUGACGGUUGUUCAGGAGCACUUUUCAAUUUAUUAAGAUCCUUCUGAUAAUGAAAAAUCUAUUUUCUUAGGUUUACCUUCUUGUUUUAGACUGUGGUGCAAAUGAUCUAAAGUUUAGGUAGAUUCAGUCAAAUUUUAAGUUUUGUCGACAGCAUUAUUAUUCAUAGAAGACCUUUAAUUUAUAUACGGGCUGUUGUAUGUUGUACUUGCUUAUUUUUCCUUUUUUUGUAAUAUUCUUAAAUUUCCUAUUUUUUUCCUAGCAAUUUGCCCAAUUUAGUUUGAAAACCAUCUAUAAGUGUUCAUAUUUUUACACUUUUGAUUUAUUCUUUUUAUCAAAAGUAUGCUUAGUUGACUGCUCCAACUUCUUUAUUAUGAUAAAAUGAGGUUCUCUCUUUAGAUUUCUCUUUAGAUUUCUUGAGUAGUUAAAGACAGUGGUGGAAAGAGCAUGCCGAACGGUUGUAAAGUUCUGAAAAGUAAAGUAGAAUGUUACUUUUCAGGCAUUGUUUGACCUGGUAGAACUCCUAUGCUAAUCUGGUCAUGUCUUGUCAUUAUGAAAUUUUUUCUUAAGCAUAUUUCUAUUUAUUUUUUCUACUUAAAACAUAAUUUCAUUGAUGGGUUCUUUUACAAUUAGGAGUUUUGUGACUGGUUGUUUCUCUUAAUAGGUAUCCACUUUUAAAGGAGCCUUUUUCCGUUCUUCGUUUUUCCUUAACUAUUUUUCAGUCAUUUACUUAAUAUAUUCAUUUAGCAAUUGUCAAUUUAUGCUCUCUUUAACAAAGGGAGUUAGUUAAUUUUUUUUUUGUUUUAGGUUUACUGAUAUUCAGCAUAACCAUGUAAAUGCGUUCUUGUUCUAAAAUUUCAUUACAUUUCUUGUUUCACUAAGUUUUGUGUUGUCAUUUCAUCCGUGUACUUUAUUAAAAAUCUAAAUAUUAAGAGGCUAGGCAACUUGGGUAAAAAAUGAGACUGCUCAAUGCAAUGAGUAUUUUGUAAAGCUCUGAAAAAAACUUGUCAC